rnacentral:rRNA from 1 species
UACAGAGGUCUCAAGCGUUGUUCGGAUUCAUUGGGCGUAAAGGGUGCGUAGGCGGCGCGGUAAGUCGGGUGUGAAAUCUCGGAGCUUAACUCCGAAACUGCAUUCGAUACUGGUGUGCUUGAGGACUGGAGAGGAGACUGGAAUUCAUGGUGUAGCAGUGAAAUGCGUAGAGAUCAUGAGGAAGACCAGUGGCGAAGGCGGGUCUCUGGACAGUUCCUGACACUGAGGCACGAAGGCCAGGGGAGCAAACGGG